GCCUGGUCUAGUAGAGCUGUGUUGUGAUGGGUCUGGUCUAGUAGAGCUGUGUUGUGAUGGGUCUGGUCUAGUAGAGCUGUGUUGUGAUGGGCCAGGUCUAGUAGAGCUGUGUUGUGAUGGGCCAGGUCUAGUAGAGCUGUGAUGGGUCUGGUCUAGUAGAGCUGUGUUGUGAUGGGACGGGUCUGGUCUAGUAGAGCUGUGUUGUGAUGGGCCAGGUCUAGUAGAGCUGUGUUGUGAUGGGUCUGGUCUAGUAGAGCUGUGUUGUGAUGGGCCAGGUCUAGUAGAGCUGUGUUGUGAUGGGCCUGGUCUAGUAGAGCUGUGUUGUGAUG
rnacentral:lncRNA from 1 species